rnacentral:rRNA from 1 species
CUUGAUCAAUUAUAAGAGGUCAAGCCUGCCCAGUGACAUUGUUCAACGGCCGCGGUAUCCUAACCGUGCGAAGGUAGCGUAAUCACUUGUCCUUUAAAUAAGGACUAGUAUGAACGGCUUCACGAAGGCUAUACUGUCUCCUUAAUCUAAUCAAUUAAACUAAUCUCCCCGUGAAGAAGCGGGGAUUCGUCUAUAAGACGAGAAGACCCUAUGGAGCUUUAAACAUCUAAGACACUUGAUUAUACCUAAUAAACUUCAUGCAACCUAUCAUUUUGUCUUAAGUUUUAGGUUGGGGUGACCACGGAGAAAAAUUAAACCUCCACGUAGAAAGAAAAUUCUUUUCUAAGCAAAAAGCCACAUCUUAACGCAUCAAUAUAUUGACUUAAAUUGACCCAAUUUCUUGCUCAACGAAC